AUUGAACGCUGGCGGCAGGCCUAACACAUGCAAGUCGAACGAGUGGCGGACGGGUGAGUAAUGUCUGGGAAACUGCCUGAUGGAGGGGGAUCACUACUGGAAACGGUAGCUAAUACCGCAUACCAUCGGAUUUGCCCAGAUGGGAUGGGCUUGUUGGUGGGGUAACGGCUCACCAAGGCGACGAUCCCUAGCUGGUCUGAGAGGAUGACCAGCCACACUGGAACUGGGACACGGCCCAGACUCCUACGGGAGGCAGCAGUGGGGAAUAUUGCACAAGGGGGGCAAGCCGGAUGCAGCCCUGCCGCGUAUAUGAAGAAGGCCUUCGGGUUGUAAAGUACUUUCAGCGGGGAGGCGUUACCCGCAGAAGAAGCACCGGCUAACUCCGUGCCAGCAGCCGCGGUAAUAC
rnacentral:rRNA from 1 species